CUUCCUCUUCUUGGCAGGAGUCUGGCAUGCAGUCCCAGUCCCCGUGAUGUAUGGACACAGAGGGAAAGGGCUCUGGACCCUCAGCAUCAUGUCCUCAGUGCUGACAGUUUCCAAUCCACAGGCUUUAUCCUCAAGCACUAGAACAUGG